rnacentral:lncRNA from 1 species
UCCCCCACCCCCGACUGGUUCACCAGCCCCCCUGACCCUCCUGUCUCCUUCUUCUCAGGCUCUGUGCACCAAGGUCCCCGAGCUGGUACGGACCAUCGUGGGCUGGACAUUGGAGUACCUCCGGGAUCAUGUGCUGGCCUGGAUCCAGGCCCAGGGAGGAUGGGACGGUCUCCUCUCCUACUUCGGCACACCCACCUGGCAGACCAUCACCAUCUUCGCCGCCGGCGUGCUCACCGCCUCCCUCACCAUCUGGAAGAUGUCGUAGGGCGGGGUUGGGGUGUGCUCCGUGGCACCCCACGUCUGGCCGGACUGCGCUGGGCUCCCCGGGGGCUGGCUCCCCUCGUCCAGCCUCACUCCCUUCCCAAUUCUUGGUGCCUUGUGCUCAACUCAGAACAAACCUUUGGGACCCCGUGCUGCGCCUCCCUGAUGGGGACCAACGUCGGGGGACAUGGCCGCUUCGUGGGGUGGGACGCCCUCCUGCAUCUUGGGCAGAGACUUGAGAGGCUUUGAGCCCCACCCGGGGCUGGUCGGCAUUUAAUUUCCUGAUGGGCUGGCUGCCCGCGGGGAAUCCUGAGCCAAGGUCGCAGGGGCCCAGAGCCGGUUCCGGCACCGGGAGCCGAACUCAGGCCAAGGUCGCAGGAGCCAGAGGCGGUUCCGGGGGCUGAACUUGGGCCGAGGUUGUGGGGGCCAGAGCCGCUUCCAGGGGUUGAACUCGGGCUGAGGCUGUGGGGGCCAGAGCCGGUUCCGGGGCCUGAACUCGGGCUGAGGUUGUGGGGGCCGGAGCCGGUUCCGGGGGCCAAACUCGGGCCGAGGUCUCGGGGGCCGGAGCCGGUUCUGGCACCGGGGGGCCAAACUCAGGCCGAGGUCUCGGGGGCCGGAGCCGGUUCUGGCACCGGGGGGCCAAACUCAGGCCGAGGUCUCGGGGGCCGGAGCCAGUUCUGGCACCGGGGGUCCGAACUCGGGCCGAGGUCUCGGGGGCUGGAGCCGGUUCUGGCACCGGGGGACCGAACUCGGACCGAGGUCGGG